rnacentral:rRNA from 1 species
UGAGAUGUUGGGUUAAGUCUCGCAACGAGCGCAACCCCUAUUCCCAGUAGCCAGCACGUUAAGAUGGGCACUCUAGAGAGACUGCCGGGGACAACCCGGAGGAAGGUGGGGAUGACGUCAAAUCAUCAUGCCCCUUAUGACCUGGGCUACACACGUGCUACAAUGGCCGGUACAAAGAGAAGCCAACCUGUGAAGGCGAGCAAAUCUCAAAAAGGCGGUCUCAGUUCGGAUUGUAGUCUGCAACUCGCCUACACGAGAGGGCU